rnacentral:rRNA from 1 species
UACGAAGGUCCCAAGCGUUAUCCGGAUUUAUUGGGUUUAAAGGGUGCGUAGGCGGGUUAUUAAGUCAGUGGUGAAAGCCUUCAGCUUAACUGAAGAAUUGCCAUUGAUACUGAUGAUCUUGAGUAUGAUUGAGGUGGGCGGAAUGUGUCAUGUAGCGGUGAAAUGCUUAGAUAUGACACAGAACACCGAUUGCGAAGGCAGCUCACUAAGUCAUAACUGAUGCUGAUGCACGAAAGCGUGGGGAGCAAACAGG